rnacentral:rRNA from 1 species
UACGGAGGGUGCAAGCGUUAUCCGGAUUUAUCUGGGUUUAAAGGGUGUGUAGGCGGGUCUAUUAAGUCAGUGGUGAAAUCUCCGAGCUCAACUUGGAAACUGCCAUUGAUACUAUUAGUCUUGAAUUUUGUUGAGGUAGGCGGAAUAAGUUCAUGUAGCGGUGAAAAUGCUUAGAUAUGACUUAGAACACCAAUUGCGAAGGCAGCUUGCUAAACAAACAUUUGACGCUGAGGCACGAAAGCGUGGGGAUCAAACAGG